rnacentral:lncRNA from 1 species
UAACGUUGGCGGCGACUAUAACAAACUAAUAAUAGAACGACAACGAUGACAAUGACAAAGAACAACACAUACAACAACGAAUGGUGCAACAACAAAGACACCCACGAACAAUGCAUAUAAACGUCGACGAAGGCACAUAACGCGAGCACGCCGGCGAGGAAGAUGAAAAGGGAUGAAGUAGGAGGAACAUAAAGGAAGGAAGAUGAAGUAGAAUGAAUAAGGAUGGAGUAGAAGGAUUGGAGAGAGCACACGAUACUUAGUUGAUAACGACCUAAAAAGAGCUAAUUAGGAGGAAAAACAAAGAAUAUUUUAAGUGAAGACUUUAUAAUAAUUUUUAGUUUUAUUUGUGUUUAAUUUGAAUUGUAAUAAUUUUGGUUAAG